rnacentral:rRNA from 2 species
UUAUCCUUUGUUGCCAGCGAUUAGGUCGGGAACUCAAAGGAGACUGCCAGUGAUAAACUGGAGGAAGGUGGGGAUGACGUCAAGUCAUCAUGGCCCUUACGACCAGGGCUACACACGUGCUACAAUGGCGCAUACAAAGAGAAGCGACCUCGCGAGAGCAAGCGGACCUCAUAAAGUGCGUCGUAGUCCGGAUUGGAGUCUGCAACUCGACUCCAUGAAGUCGGAAUCGCUAGUAAUCGUGGAUCAGAAUGCCACGGUGAAUACGUUCCCGGGCCUUGUACACACCGCCCGUCACACCAUGGGAGUGGGUUGCAAAAGAAGUAGGUAGCUUAACCUUCGGGAGGGCGCUUACCACUUUGUGAUUCAUGACUGGGGUGAAGUCGUAACAAGGUAACCGUAGGGGAACCUGCGGUUGGAUCACCUCCUUACCUUAAAGAAGC